rnacentral:rRNA from 1 species
AUGCAAGUCGAACGAACCUUCGGGUUAGUGGCGGACGGGUGAGUAACGCGUGAGAAUCUGCCCUCAGGAGGGGGAUAACGGCUGGAAACGGCCGCUAAUACCCCAUAUGCCGAGAGGUGAAAUGAAAUUCGCCUGAGGAUGAGCUCGCGUCUGAUUAGCUAGUUGGUGGGGUAAGGGCCUACCAAGGCAUCGAUCAGUAGCUGGUCUGAGAGGAUGAUCAGCCACACUGGGACUGAGACACGGCCCAGACUCCUACGGGAGGCAGCAGUGGGGAAUUUUCCGCAAUGGGCGAAAGCCUGACGGAGCAACGCCGCGUGAGGGAUGAAGGCCUCUGGGCUGUAAACCUCUUUUCUCAAGGAAGAAGAUCUGACGGUACUUGAGGAAUAAGCCACGGCUAAUUCCGUGCCAGCAGCCGCGGUAAUACGGGAGUGGCAAGCGUUAUCCGGAAUUAUUGGGCGUAAAGCGUCCGCAGGCGGCUCUGUAAGUCUGUCGUUAAAGCGUGGAGCUUAACUCCAUUUAAGCGAUGGAAACUACAGGGCUUGAGUGUGGUAGGGGCAGAGGGAAUUCCCGGUGUAGCGGUGAAAUGCGUAGAUAUCGGGAAGAACACCAGUGGCGAAGGCGCUCUGCUGGGCCAUAACUGACGCUCAUGGACGAAAGCCAGGGGAGCGAAAGGGAUUAGAUACCCCUGUAGUCCUGGCCGUAAACGAUGAACACUAGGUGUCGGGGGAAUCGACCCCCUCGGUGUCGUAGCCAACGCGUUAAGUGUUCCGCCUGGGGAGUACGCACGCAAGUGUGAAACUCAAAGGAAUUGACGGGGGCCCGCACAAGGCGGUGGAGUAUGUGGUUUAUCGAUGCACGCGAGGACUUACAGGGUUUGACAUCUGCGACCCUGGAAACGAGGGGGUGCCUUCGAGCGCA